rnacentral:rRNA from 1 species
CCGAAUAGGGGAGGCGCAGCGAAAGCGAGUUCGAAAUGAGCGUUCAGUCGCAGGGUGUAGACCCGAAACCAGAUGAGCUAUCCAUGGCCAGGUUGAAGGUGUGGUAACACACACUGGAGGACCGAACCGACUAGUGUUGCAAAAUUAGCGGAUGAGCUGUGGAUAGGGGUGAAAGGCCAAACAAAUCUGGAGAUAGCUGGUUCUCCCCGAAAACUAUUGAGGUAGUGCCUCGUGUGUCGCUCCAGGGGGUAGAGCACUGUUUUGGCUAGGGGGACAUGGAGUCUUACCAAACCAAGGCAAACUCCGAAUACCUGGAAGCGUAAGCACGGGAGACAGAGCACCGGGUGCUAACGUCCGGACUCAAAAGGGAAACAACCCAGACCGCCGGCUAAGGUCCCAAAUAACAGCUAAGUGGAAAACGAAGUGGAAAGGCCGUGACAACCAGGAAGUUGGCUUAGAAGCAGCCA